ACGAACGCUGGCGGCGUGCUUAACACAUGCAAGUCGAACGGAAAGGCCCUGCUUUUGUGGGGUGCUCGAGUGGCGAACGGGUGAGUAACACGUGAGUAACCUGCCCUUGACUUUGGGAUAACUUCAGGAAACUGGGGCUAAUACCGGAUAGGAGCUCCUGCUGCAUGGUGGGAGUUGGAAAGUUUCGGCGGUUGGGGAUGGACUCGCGGCUUAUCAGCUUGUUGGUGGGGUAGUGGCUUACCAAGGCUUUGACGGGUAGCCGGCCUGAGAGGGUGACCGGCCACAUUGGGACUGAGAUACGGCCCAGACUCCUACGGGAGGCAGCAGUGGGGAAUAUUGCACAAUGGGCGGAAGCCUGAUGCAGCAACGCCGCGUGCGGGAUGACGGCCUUCGGGUUGUAAACCGCUUUCGCCUGUGACGAAGCGUGAGUGACGGUAAUGGGUAAAGAAGCACCGGCUAACUACGUG
rnacentral:rRNA from 1 species